rnacentral:tRNA from 1 species
UCCCUGGUGGUCCAGUGGCUAAGACUCUGUGCUUCCAAUUCAGGGGCCUGGGUUCCAACCCUGGUCAGGGAG